rnacentral:rRNA from 1 species
AGUUUGAUCCUGGCUCAGGGUGAACGCUGGCGGCGUGCCUAAGACAUGCAAGUCGUGCGGGCCGUGGGUUAUCUCACGGUCAGCGGCGGACGGGUGAGUAACGCGUGGGUGACCUACCCGGAAGAGGGGGACAACCUGGGGAAACCCAGGCUAAUCCCCCAUGUGGACACAUCCUGUGGGGUGUGUUCAAAGGGCUUUGCCCCCUUCCGGAUGGGCCCGUGUCCCAUCAGCUAGUUGGUGGGGUAAAGGCCCACCAAGGCGACGACGGGUAGCCGGUCUGAGAGGAUGGCCGGCCACAGGGGCACUGAGACACGGGCCCACUCCUACGGGAGGCAGCAGUUAGGAAUCUUCCGCAAUGGGCGCCAGCUGACCGGAGCGACGCCGCUUGGAGGAGGAAGCCCUUCGGGGUGUAAACUCCUGAACCCGGGACGAAACCCCCGAUGAGGGGACUGACGGUACCGGGGUAAUAGCGCGGCCAACUCUGUGCCAGCAGCCGCGGUAAUAGGGAGGGCGCGAGGGUUACCCGGAUUUAUUGGGCGUAAAGGGCGUGU